rnacentral:rRNA from 1 species
AUCGGUAAGGGAUGGGCAUGCGUAGGAUUAGUUAGUUGGCGGGGUAACGGCCCACCAAGACUGUGAUCCUUAGGGGUUCUGAGAGGAAGGUCCCCCACACUGGCACUGAGAUACGGGCCAGACUCCUACGGGAGGCAGCAGUAGGGAAUAUUGGGCAAUGGGCGGGAGCCUGACCCAGCCAUGCCGCGUGCAGGAAGAAGGCGUUAUGCGUUGUAAACUGCUUUUAUACGGGAAGAAAAGGCCCAUGCGUGGGACAUUGCCGGUACCGUAUGAAUAAGCACCGGCUAACUCCGUGCCAGCAGCCGCGGUAAUACGGAGGGUGCAAGCGUUGUCCGGAUUUAUUGGGUUUAAAGGGUGCGUAGGCGGCCCGUUAAGUCAGCGGUGAAAGUCUGUGGCUCAACCAUAGAAGCGCCGUUGAUACUGAUGGGCUUGAGUGCCGUAUGGGUACAUGGAAUUGAUGGUGUAGCGGUGAAAUGC